GAUGAACGCUGGCGGCGUGCCUAAUACAUGCAAGUCGAGCGAACAGACGAGGAGCUUGCUCCUCUGACGUUAGCGGCGGACGGGUGAGUAACACGUGGAUAACCUACCUAUAAGACUGGGAUAACUUCGGGAAACCGGAGCUAAUACCGGAUAAUAUAUUGAACCGCAUGGUUCAAGAGUGAAAGACGGUUUUGCUGUCACUUAUAGAUGGAUCCGCGCCGCAUUAGCUAGUUGGUAAGGUAACGGCUUACCAAGGCAACGAUGCGUAGCCGACCUGAGAGGGUGAUCAGCCACACUGGAACUGAGACACGGUCCAGACUCCUACGGGAGGCAGCAGUAGGGAAUCUUCCGCAAUGGGCGAAAGCUUGACGGAGCAACGCCGCGUGAGUGAUGAAGGUCUUCGGAUCGUAAAACUCUGUUAUUAGGGAAGAACAAAUGUGUAAGUAACUAUGCACGUCUUGACGGUACCUAAUCAGAAAGCCACGGCUAACUACGUG
rnacentral:rRNA from 1 species